GGUUCAGGAUGAACGCUAGCUACAGGCUUAACACAUGCAAGUCGAGGGGUAGCAGGGUAGCAAUACCGCUGACGACCGGCGCACGGGUGAGUAACACGUAUCCAACCUUCCCAUAACUCAGGGAUAGCCUUUCGAAAGAAAGAUUAAUACCUGAUAGUACUUUUUCAAGGCAUCUUGAGAAAGUUAAAGAUUUAUUGGUUAUGGAUGGGGAUGCGUUCCAUUAGAUAGUUGGUGAGGUAACGGCUCACCAAGUCUUCGAUGGAUAGGGGUUCUGAGAGGAAGGUCCCCCACAUUGGUACUGAGACACGGACCAAACUCCUACGGGAGGCAGCAGUGAGGAAUAUUGGUCAAUGGGCGAGAGCCUGAACCAGCCAAGUAGCGUGAAGGAUGAAGGUCCUAUGGAUUGUAAACUUCUUUUAUAGUAGAAUAAAGUGAUCCACGUGUGGAUUUUUGUAUGUAUACUAUGAAUAAGGAUCGGCUAACUCCGUGCCAGCCGCAGC
rnacentral:rRNA from 1 species